GACGAACCGUGCGAACGUUGUUCGGAAUCACUGGGCUUAAAGGGCGCGUAGGCGGCAGAUCAAGUCCGGGGUGAAAUCCUCCAGCUCAACUGGAGAAGUGCCUUGGAUACUGAUGUGCUCGAGGGAGGUAGGGGUCCGCGGAACUUCUGGUGGAGCGGUGAAAUGCGUUGAUAUCGGAAGGAACGCCGGUGGCGAAAGCGGUCUGCUGGCCCUCUACUGACGCUGAGGCGCGAAAGCCAGGGGAGCAAACGGGG
rnacentral:rRNA from 1 species